AACCAGUAAACAGCUUUACAUUUUACAUUAAAGAGACUUUUUUACUAUUUAAUUAAAAAUUCUGAGUUCAAAGCAUAUUCAUAGGACUUAAAAAAAAACUUUUGGAUUCUACGCAGACGACAUCAUGUUGGAAAUGUUAACGAGAACGCUCCUAGUAUUGUUUGCCUUGUUUAUAGUCGCCAGAGCCCAAUGGUAUAAUUAUGAUGACGACCAGGACGACAUGUUCGAGAUGAUGUUUGGCCGAUACAAUGGUUUCUACGGUGGUUUUAUGGGAAUGGGAUAUUUACGGGAUAUGUUUGAAGAUUAGGCCGCCAUCAAUGUGAAGCUUCUUGUAUUGUCCUAUGUGAUGACAGGGAUUUUAAAGUGUAUCAACCUUGGCAUGAAAUGGGCAUGAUGAAUGAACUGAAACUUUUUUCACGAGUGCCAGUUUUGUGUUUUUACUCUUUUUUUCUUUCUCUCUUAUUAUUAAUAAGGAUGACAGUUGAAAUACUAUUUACUCACGUGUAUAAAUCUUUCCUCUAUUACUAAUAAAAAAUAGGGCGUUUUUUAAACUUUUGUCAAUAUUCACUUCUUUAACUUAAUAAAAAAAGUUCCCUCUA